rnacentral:rRNA from 1 species
GUCCACGCCCUAAACGAUGUCUACUAGUUGUUGGGGUAGCAAUACCUUGGUAACGCAGCUAACGCGUGAAGUAGACCGCCUGGGGAGUACGGUCGCAAGAUUAAAACUCAAAGGAAUUGACGGGGGCCCGCACAAGCGGUGGAUGAUGUGGAUUAAUUCGAUGCAACGCGAAAACCUUACCUACCCUUGACAUGUCAGGAACCCUGCAGAGACGUAGGGGUGCCCGAAAGGGAAUCUGAACACAGGUGCUGCAUGGCUGUCGU